UCGUAAGUCGUCAUCAGGCACAUUUGCCGCUGGCGGCGAGCUUCGUUCAUCCCGAAUGGAUGCACGAGGUUUCACCAGAAAAAGGAA
rfam:Pseudomonas syringae strain GAW0119 contig29.1, whole genome shotgun sequence.